rnacentral:rRNA from 1 species
UUAAUUGAAGAGUUUGAUCAUGGCUCAGAUUGAACGCUGGCGGCAGGCCUAACACAUGCAAGUCGAGCGGCAGCACAGAGAAACUUGUUUCUCGGGUGGCGAGCGGCGGACGGGUGAGUAAUGCCUGGGAAAUUGCCCUGAUGUGGGGGAUAACCAUUGGAAACGAUGGCUAAUACCGCAUGAUAGCUUCGGCUCAAAGAGGGGGACCUUCGGGCCUCUCGCGUCAGGAUAUGCCCAGGUGGGAUUAGCUAGUUGGUGAGGUAAGGGCUCACCAAGGCGACGAUCCCUAGCUGGUCUGAGAGGAUGAUCAGCCACACUGGAACUGAGACACGGUCCAGACUCCUACGGGAGGCAGCAGUGGGGAAU